rnacentral:rRNA from 1 species
UACGUAGGCAGCGAGCGUUGUUCGGAAUUACUGGGCGUAAAGGGUGUGUAGGCGGUGCUCUAAGUUCGGUGUGAAAUCUCCUGGCUUAACUGGGAGGGUGCGCCGGAAACUGGAGUGCUUGAGCGUGGGAGAGGAAAGCGGAAUUCCUGGUGUAGCGGUGAAAUUCGUAGAUAUCAAGCGGAACACCGGUGGCGAAGGCGGCCUUCUGGACGAUGACUGACGCUGAGACGCGAAAGCGUGGGGAGCAAACAGG